CAGGCAAUUUGACCUAAAGUUCUACACUGACGAGCACUAUGGAGAAACACUCCUAGUCAAAGAUGCAUGGGACUCACUGCCAUACGGAAUAGAGGAUUUUCCAAGUUUGCACGCCAGCGAGGACUGCAUCAUUUUGGGAAAGAUGCCCCCAUAUGGACAGUUAACGGAAUGCACCUACUGGGUUCGCAGAGGUGUUGUCGGAAAUCGCAAUUGGAAAUGUGACUUCAUAUUCGACCACUUUUGCAAGAGACCAGCGAUUGUAGUAAAUAAAGACAACCUAAAGUAUUGUAAUUAAA